rnacentral:tRNA from 1 species
GGUUCCAUGGUGUAAUGGUCAGCAUUCUAGACUUUGAAUCCAGUGAUCCGAGUUCAAGUCUGAGUGGAACCU